GACGAACGCUGGCGGCGUGCCUAAUACAUGCAAGUUGAGCGAUGAAGAUUGGUGCUUGCACCAAUUUGAAGAGCAGCGAACGGGUGAGUAACGCGUGGGGAAUCUGCCUUUGAGCGGGGGACAACAUUUGGAAACGAAUGCUAAUACCGCAUAACAACUUUAAACAUAAGUUUUAAGUUUGAAAGAUGCAAUUGCAUCACUCAAAGAUGAUCCCGCGUUGUAUUAGCUAGUUGGUGAGGUAAAGGCUCACCAAGGCGAUGAUACAUAGCCGACCUGAGAGGGGGAUCGGCCACAGUGGGACUGAGACACGGCCCAAACUCCUACGGGAGGCAGCAGUAGGGAAUCUUCGGCAAUAGACGAAAGUCUGACCGAGCAACGCCGCGUGAGUGAAGAAGGUUGUCGGAUCGUAAAACUCUGUUGGUAGAGAAGAACGUUGGUGAGAGUGGAAAGCUCAUCAAGUGACGGUAACUACCCAGAAAGGGACGGCUAACUACGUG
rnacentral:rRNA from 1 species